rnacentral:misc_RNA from 1 species
UUAAGUUCAGCGGGUCUUCCUACCUGAUUUGACACCCGAGUUCAAGCUGGUUGCCCAACUUAGUUGCAGCCGAAACUGCAGGGGAGAUUAGCAAAUUAACUAUCGCUAACACUAAAGGAAGUGGGCAAGCCCUUCAUACACUUAAGUGCUUUGCAACAUACCGUUAACAACUAAGCAAUUCAUUUAAAGCUAUUGACUAU